CUUAAAGAUGUUUCUACAAUAGAUUUCGAAUUUGAUCUAAUCAAGUUCGACUCUAUGGAUUUACUAGAUUGUGUCGAUUCUUCUAUCGAUCGAACUCUAUCAAGUUCAAGCUUUGAGGUAUUAGUUCCUUCACCAAGGAACUCUUUUUCUAAAAAGACAGUCCUAUUACUGACGAACAUCUUCUGUUCGUCAGUAAAGUAGAAGUAAUAUC
rnacentral:lncRNA from 1 species